GCAUCUUUCAAAACAUCGUCAUAAAAUGUUUUUUUUUGUGAGGGAUGUCUUUUACCUUUUUUCCAAUGAAGCAAAAUACAAGGAACAUGUAAAACGAAAUUUUAUGGAAUGAUGGAGACAAUACAGGGUGUCCCAUAAGUGACACGACACAGUGACACUGGAGGUAGACCAGGCCAAGAGGACCCAAACCAACUUAACAUGACCCCAGUAAAAGUGGCACGGUUUUCAAGUUAUUGCCAAAUUAAGGUUUUUCAUGAAUUUUGACCGUUUUUAACAUUGUUAGUGCCAGUGUGCACUCGGAAAGGUCUCGAAGUUAGUUUUUUUUUAUGUGUACGGCAUCAUGAAUAGUUGAUUAAGAUAACAGAAGAGGUAUUUUAUCGAUAAACAUUGUAAAAUGCAAAAAAAUACCGGUUUAAUCUUGAAUUAAAUUCACAGCGAAACAUUAAUUUCGACUUUGACCACCUCAUGUUAUGCAGAUUCAAAAAUGGUAUCAUACAUGUACCUUUCCGUAAUAAAAUAAGAAUUAUGAUCAUCUUUCGAAUGCCUCAUAAAAAUUAGGUUAAAACUAGGAAAUCUGCAAUCCGUUGCUACUUAGUAAAAAUAACGAUUUAAUGUUAAGAUAUCUCAUUCUGGAUACAGAAAUAAAAAAUCGCCCAUUUAGUACCUAUUUGCCGAAUGCCUAAAAGAAAGAGAUGGAAAAUGCUUAUCUCCCUUUUUAGGGGUAUCAUUGAGUUGAUAAAGGUUCAAAGAAAAUAAAAUUCAGGUUGAAGUUUAUUUGAUUUAUUAAAAAUGUUACAGUAGAUGCUCGAAUUGUUUUCCCCGGGCUCG